GGGCCCGUAGCUCAGUGGUCAGAGCGACGGACUCAUAAUCCGUUGGCCGUAGGUUCAAGUCCUACCGGGCCCA
rnacentral:tRNA from 1 species